UUUCAAUGAAUAUCAGCAGCCAAGAUCUCCACUUUGUCUUCACAAUUCGUGGCCGAGGGUUCCAAGAUUUCCGAUGAGAUCCAGGUUAUCACGAACCAAGCCGGCAACAGCUUAAUUGAAAAAGAAGAUUGAAAGUCAAAAAGCUGGAUUUGAAGAAGCUCAUCAAAGAAGGUGAAGGAAGAAGAAGCUCAAUCUAUUGGUCUAUCUCCCAUUCUUUCACCAGAUCCGACCAACGCCUAAAGAUUUCUCGGCCUUCGUCAAGGAGGAGCUCGUUGCAGGCUCGUCGGAGACUCUCCCUCAGGUUUUCGUUUGUUCCCAAAAUUGUGUGUUCGAUUUAUUAGGUUUUGUGUAAUAAUGAUUGCAUGUGUUGCAGAAACAAGAAGAUGAACCGGGUGGAGGAUGUGGAGGACGAGUACAAUGAGGAUGAUGAUGAUGAUGAUUGGCCAGAUUUCAAAGAUUUGAGUUUUGGUUGUUUUAUGGGUUGAAGUGUUCUUGCCGAGCUUGUUCUGUUUAGUCUGUGGAGCUGAAUUAUAAAGGGUACGUAGGGUAAGUGUUUGAAGCCUUCACAAUUUCUACUACCAGCUGCCUGGAAUGAGAUUUUGGAUCGAAACCUUCACAUUAAUUCACGACCUGCUUGAAACCUUGAACUUCUUUGAAUCGUUUGACUUUGACAUGGUU
rnacentral:lncRNA from 1 species